AUGUGUAGAAGCAAGGUCAAUCCUAUUUGGGGUAAGAUCUGGAAAUUAGCUUGUCCAACGAAGGUUAAAUUUUUUAUUUGGCGGACGCUUCACGGGACUCUACCGUGUCAUGUUACAUUGGCCAACAGACAUAUUAAAACUCAACCAAUUUGCCCAGCAUGCUUGGACGAGCCAGAGGACACGAAACAUAUAUUAUUUCUGUGCUAGAAGGCAAAAGAAGUGUGGGAACAUUUGGGGUUGUAUGAAGUGGUAAAAAAAGCCUGCGUCGUUGAUCGUGCAGGAGAGGCAGUCCUUGAAUUCCUACUCCUUAUGCCUGAUCAUGAACUACCCAUCUUGGGCUCCCGGAAUGCAAGGGAACUUAUUGCUACAGCUGCAUGGUAUUUAUGGUGGAAUCGACAGAAACUAGUCCAUGAGGGUAAGUCUCAAGAGGCGUCCCAAACCUCGAUGGGGAUUCGGGCUAUAACAUCGAACUAUGUAAAAGCCCACUCUCCUAAAGCAAAGAGAAAGAAUGAAGGAUGGUGUAGACCUCCUAGGGGUUUCGUUAAAUUGAACAUGGAUGCUUCUUUUGAUCAUGAUCAACUAGGACGCACAGCGGGUGCUGUUAUCAGAGAUGACAAAGGAAACUUCAUAGUAGGUGGUAACUGGAGGAUUCAGUACUGUGCGGAUGCCCUGACAGCAGAGGUGGUAGCACUCAGAUUUGGUUUACUGUUGGCACAAAAGACGGGCUGCAAUCGUCUAAUCAUCAAUUCUGAUAAUAUGGAGGUCAUUGACACAAUGAUGAACGGAGGACAAUCUGCGGGACCGGCUGCUGCAAUUUUUGAGGAUUGUUUUUCAUGGCCUGUGAUUUUCCUCAAACCAGUUUUGAACAUUGUAACAGGGAAGCAAAUAAAGUAG
rnacentral:rRNA from 1 species